UCGGGGGAGAAGCCCGGGCUUGGGAGUCGGAGGUCUUGGGUUCGAAUCCCGGAUCCACCGCUUGUCAGCCGGGUGCCUGUGGGCGAGUCACUACUCGGCUUCCGCGGGCCUCAGGGACCUCAUCUGUCAAAUGGGGAUGCGGACCGGGAGGCUCCCGCGGGAGCCCAGCGCUUAGAAGAGGGCUCUGGUCGGGGCCGCCCCCGGCUCCCUGAAGGCGGGCCCGAAGCGGGGGGGGGGCCCCGAAGCGGGGGGGGGGGCCCCGAAGCGGGGGGGGGGGGCCCGCCCGUCCGUCCGUCCCUCCCUCCCUCCCCGCGGGCCGCCCGGCCUCCCCUCAAGGCUCACCCCGGAAGCAGCGCCAGGUCCCCCGGGCCCCGGGCCCGUCUGCGGCGCGGACCCCGCCGCCCGGCGUUCCGGCGCUCUCCCCUUCCGGCCCCGCCCCCCGGCGUCCGGAAGGAAGUGCGUCCGCACGGACCGUAUUUAGGGCCGCCCCGCCGGCCCGCCCUCACUGCGCCUGCUGUUCGCCCUGCCGGACCCCGCGCCGGUGAGCGACGCCUGCGCGCCCCCCUUCCCUGCCUCCCUCCCUCCCUCCCUGCCUGCCUGCCUCCCUGCCUGCCUGCCUCCCUGCCUGCCUCCCUGCCUGCCUCCCUCCCUCCGUUGGCCUCCCUCCUUGCCUGCCUGCCUGUCGCGGGGAGAGCGCUCGAGCCGCCCUCUCCCUCCCUCCCUCCCCGCUCCUCUUUCUCUUUGCCCCCUCCCGGCUCUCCUGGCCGGCUCAUCCCUUGCUUGCUUCCUCCUCCACCCCUCUUCUCCUCCUCCUUUUGCCCCCCUCCUCCAUCUCCUCCUCCUGCCCUCUCCCUCCUCCUCCUGCCUCUCCUCCCGCGUCCUCCUCCUCCUUCUCCUCCUUCUGCCCCCCUCCUCUGUCUUUUGCCCCGAUCCUCCAUCUCCUCCUCCUCCUCCUGCCCCCUCCCUCCUCCUCCUCCCCCCUCCCUCCUCCUCCUCCCCCCUCCUCCUCCUUUUGCCCCCCUCUUCCAUCUCCUCCCCCUCCUGCCCCCUCCCUCCUCCUCCUCCUGCCCCCCCUUCUGCCCCCUCCCUCCUCCUCCUGCUCCCCUCCUCCAUCUCUUCCUCCUCCUCCUGCCCCCAUCCUCCUCCUCCUGCCCCCUUCCUCCAUCUCCUCCUGCCCCCUUCCUCCAUCUCCUCCUGCCCCCUUCCUCCAUCUCCUCCUGCCCCCCUCCUCCUGCCCCCCUCCUCCUUCAUCUCCUUCUCCUCCUGCCCCCCUCCUCCUUCAUCUCCUUCUCCUCCUGCCCCCCUCCUUCAUCUCCUCCUCCUGCCCCCCUCCUCCUGCCCUCCUCCUUCAUCUCCUCCUCCUCCUGCCCCCCUCCUCCAUCUCCUCCUCCUCCUGCCCCCGUCCUCCUCCAUCUCCUCCUCCUCCUCCUGCCCCCGUCCUCCUCCAUCUCCUCCUCCUCCUCCUGCCCCCGUCCUCCUCCAUCUCCUCCUCCUCCUCCUGCCCCCGUCCUCCUCCAUCUCCUCCUCCUCUUCCUCCUGCCCUCUCCCCAUCUCCUCUUCCUCCUGCUGCUGUACAGCCCUUGCCCUUGGAUAUAUUCCCUUUAUUCACCCCUCCCUCAUCCCCAUAGCACUUAA
rnacentral:lncRNA from 1 species